rnacentral:rRNA from 1 species
CCUAGUAAGCGUGAGUCAUCAGCUCGCGUUGAUUACGUCCCUGCCCUUUGUACACACCGCCCGUCGCUACUACCGAUUGAAUGGCUUAGUGAGACCCUCGGAUUGUAGGUUGUUUCGUUGGCAACAACAAACGACUCGCGAGAAGUUGGUCAAACUUGGUCAUUUAGAGGAAGUAAAAGUCGUAACAAGGUUUCCGUAGGUGAACCUGCGGAAGGAUCAUUAAAAAAAAGAAUCGAAAGAUUCGCUUUUUUAAAACUCUACUAUUUUGUAGAGUUUUUUUCAAACUCUUGUAUACAAUUAUCGUCCUCUGACGAAAUCCAAAAUUUCAAUAAAAAAAACUUUCAACAAUGGAUCUCUUGGCUCUCGCAUCGAUGAAGAACGCAGCGAAUUGCGAUAAGUAGUGUGAAUUGCAGAAUUCUGUGAAUCAUCGAAUCUUUGAACGCAUAUUGCACUCUCUGGUAUUCCGGAGAGUAUGCCUGUUUGAGGGUAAUUAAAAAGAAUCUUUACCAAUUUUUUUUGGUCAAAGGAAAUGAGUUCUCCGCGUUCAUAGCGGUAGCUUGAAAUAAAUGGUCAAGUCUCAUUUUAGUCGAGACGCGUAAUAAUGUUAUUUCGCGAAAUCUUCAUUAUGUGACUAUCAAGUUUUGAUGCAUACAAAUUUGGUUUGUUUGCGAUCAAUACAAAUAUUUUGAACAUUACCUCAAAUCAGGUAGGAGUACCCGCUGAACUUAAGCAUAUCAAUAAGCGGAGGAAAAGAAACUAACCAGGAUUCCCCUAGUAACGGCGAGUGAAGCGGGAAUAGCUCAAAUUUUAAAUCGAAUUUCGGUUCGAGUUGUAAUUUGAAGAGACGUUUUCACGUCAUGAUUCAGGUCUAAGUGCUUUGGAAUGAGCCAUCAGAGAGGGUGAGAAUCCCGUCUUUGAUCUGGAUUAUUGGCGGUACGAUACGUCUUCUAAGAGUCGAGUUGUUUGGGAUUGCAGCUCAAAAUGGGUGGUAAAUUCCAUCUAAGGCUAAAUAUAGGCGAGAGACCGAUAGCGAACAAGUACCGUGAGGGAAAGAUGAAAAGCACUUUGAAAAGAGAGUUAAAUAGUACGUGAAAUUGUUGAAAGGGAAACGAUUGAAGCCAGUCAUGCCGGCGGAAAAUCAACUCACAGGCUACUGUGAGUGCACUUUUUCGCAAGGCAGGUUAGCAUCGGUUUUAGUUGCGUUAUAAUGAUCAUGGGAAGGUAGCUCUUUCGAGAGUGUUAUAGCCCGUGGUAGAUGACGUGAGUUGGACCGAGGAUUGCAGCGAAUGCCAUUAGGCUACGUGUCUGAUCUCUCUCAAUUAUUGAUUCGUCGUCAGCUUGCUGACGUACGGGUUGAUGAUUGUCAAAAGGUUAGAACUACGAUAAAUUCGCUAAGGAUGCUGACGUAAUGGCUUUAAACGACCCGUCUUGAAACACGGACCAAGGAG